GAGGGUGUAGCUCAGUGGUAGAGCGCAAACUUAGCAUGCACGAGGCCCUGGGUUCAAUCCCCACUACCUCCA
rnacentral:tRNA from 1 species